GAAGAGAGCUUUAGAAAGUCAGCUGAAGUUUUAGUUACAGGAGGAGAAAGCUACCAUGUCACUGCACUUCAUCAACCAGAUGAUUCAAAGAUCUGUGCUAAAGAAACCCUUGAGUUAUUUUGCAGAUAAUUAUGAUGUAAUUUUUAACUGCGGAUAUCCCAGAUGCAGUUUAAAGCUUUGAAGAAAGGUGACCCCAAAUUUGCCCAA
rnacentral:misc_RNA from 1 species